CAACUGUAAGGACAGUCGGACUAGCUAAAAUCUGGUCGCGCACUGAAUCAAGGUCAUUAGGAAGUCCAACGAGUGUAAGAACGAGAAACAUCUUUUGUCGUUGCUCUUGUUGCUUUUCAACACUAGUAGAAACUGGCAUCAACUUCUCCAAUUCCUCCAUGACUGCCUAUACUUGUCCCAAGUAAGUCGACUUAUCCAAUUCCUGUUUCUUCAAAUUCGUCAUCCGCGAUAUCACAUCGUAGAAACGAGAUAUGUCAUUAGUGUAUAAAGUACGAGCCUUUUCCCAACUAAAUGACAUGCCUGGAAUGGAUGAAACAAAGACAUCAAUUUGGAAUCAAUAGAUCGCCACAAGAUACUAUGAAGCAUGCUUAAAGACAUUUUUUAUAUGUCACUUGAUUUUAUUAAUGCUGUGGGCGGCCAGCAUCCUUAUAAAAAAAAAUGGACUGCAGUGCUGGAGAAAGUCAUGGAAGCCGAAGAUUUUGCAGAUUCUAGCACCGACACGGAUUCAGAUAAUUCAAAUGCUGAUGUAGAUGACCAUAUGAGGUAUGCUAUUUACUCAAUCACCACCUUAACACUAAAUCUUACAGUCAUUUGGUUGCAUAUUUUUAGGAGUUAAUCCCAUUUUUUUGUCAAUUAUAUUUUCGGGUAAUCAAAUCAUUUAAGAGUUACUUUUUUCAGUUCAUUUUAGUCAAUUCACCAGCUUGAUGUGUGACAAAAUAUCGAUAGUUCGGAACGCGUGGAAGAGUACGUGAGACUGUCCCGGUUGAGGGUGCGGUGCAUUGCAACAUCCUUGUUACCCUAUUGCAAAACCCUAAUGAGGCUUGCAAAUGCUGAAUGAUAAUCGUUGUAGCUUACCAAAAUCUCUUUUGUGUUCCUUUAUGUGUUCCUACCAAGGCAAAACACAGUGUUAGCAUCAGGCUCCAAUGACCUAGAGCCCGCUUCGAUAUCCAAACUAGUAAUGCUCGUAGACAGCUGAAGCUACAGGAAAAGUAUAAAAUAGUAUUAAAAGUGUACACGAGUAAGCUCAUAUAGCCUAGAAAUGAUGUGCUGAUAUAUCCUGUGGUAGAUAUAAUCUACACACACAUUAAAAAAAAAAAGAAAAGGAAAAGGCAAUGUAGAGGCUUUACAUAAGUUGCUCCAGUUGGUACCUCUUGGACAAGCGAGGAGGGAGUCUUCUUCCCAGAUGAAUAAACCGUGUCAAUACCAAGCCUCACUGGUAUGUUUAAACACUGAUACUUUGUCCUAGAUGGCUCGUCGUGGGAUGAAUGCUCAAUCUUAGGUGUGUUACUCGACCAUGUAACUCUUGAUAUCUGAUCCUCGUUCAUCACCCUAGCUCCCUUGAUUCCCUAGCUAGGAUGAAUCUGAUCUAUUGGGCUCAUAUACCAGCCUCAAUGCCAAUAUUUAAGGAUUGUGUGAGUUGUGACUUCUGUUUACUCAACUCCUGUACAUGAAGCGUCAAAAGAUCCAACACAAUUUACGUGGCAUUAUGUGUUUAUAGUCACUUUUACUCUUGUGGCUUUACUUAAAAUCAUCGCGGAGAAAUUAUUUAUGCAUAUAGUAUUUCCAUUGUAUCUAGUUGUGUUAAUGAUGCUCAGUUACAACUUACAUGCAUUAAUAUUUGGCCUCCAAUGUAUGUCUAGAUAAUGGGAUCACUGAUUUACUGAUGGAAUCAGAUUCACUUUUGGUGAUAAAUAUGGUAACAUGGAAAGAGCCAGGUUUCAUGGAGAUGAAAGCAUAAUGUGCAAGCCAUUCAAGAGAUGAUGGAGCUGAUUAAUGCACACUUACAUCAUACUUUUUGAGAGCAGUGGCAGAGCCAGAAUUUUUGUUGAGGUGUGUCAAAAUAUAUAAAAGUAAACAUAUCAGGAAAUUAAGGGGAGUCAAUAUAUAGUAUAUUUACAUAUAAUUUAUUUUUUUACCUAGCUACACAGUGUAUUUUUCCCGCGAAGGGGUAUCCCCUUCCUAUAAGGUGGCUCCGCCACUGUUUGAGAGGGAAACCUAAUUGCUG
rnacentral:lncRNA from 1 species